GACGAACGCUGGCGGCGUGCUUAACACAUGCAAGUCGAACGGAAAGGCCCUGCUUUUGUGGGGUGCUCGAGUGGCGAACGGGUGAGUAACACGUGAGUAACCUGCCCUUGACUUUGGGAUAACUUCAGGAAACUGGGGCUAAUACCGGAUAGGAGCUCCUGCUGCAUGGUGGGGGUUGGAAAGUUUCGGCGGUUGGGGAUGGACUCGCGGCUUAUCGGCUUGUUGGUGGGGUAGUGGCUUACCAAGGCUUUGACGGGUAGCCGGCCUGAGAGGGUGACCGGCCACAUUGGGACUGAGAUACGGCCCAGACUCCUACGGGAGGCAGCAGUGGGGAAUAUUGCACAAUGGGCGGAAGCCUGAUGCAGCAACGCCGCGUGCGGGAUGACGGCCUUCGGGUUGUAAACCGCUUUCGCCUGUGACGAAGCGUGAGUGACGGUAAUGGGUAAAGAGGCACCGGCUAACUACGUG
rnacentral:rRNA from 1 species